rnacentral:rRNA from 1 species
CAGUAGCCGCGGUAACACAGAGGGUGCGAGCGUUAAUCGGAUUUACUGGGCGUAAAGGGCGCGUAGGCGGUUUAGUGAGUGUGAUGUGAAAGCCCCGGGCUUAACCUGGGAAGUGCAUCGCAAACGACUAAACUGGAGUAUAAGAGAGGGUGGCGGAAUUUCCGGUGUAGCGGUGAAAUGCGUAGAGAUCGGAAGGAACGUCAAUGGCGAAGGCAGCCACCUGGCUUAAUACUGACGCUGAGGCGCGAAAGCGUGGGGAUCAAACAGGAUUAGAUACCCCGGUAGUCCCUGUCUCUUAUAC